UCCUAGUUAGUACAACGGUUAGUAUAUGUCGCUCUCAUGAAUUUCGAUUGUGAAGCGCCGACAAGACCCGGGUUCGACUCCCGGAUUGGGAA